rnacentral:rRNA from 1 species
UAGAGUUUGAUCAUGGCUCAGAUUGAACGCUGGCGGCAGGCCUAACACAUGCAAGUCGAGCGGAAACGAGUUAUCUGAACCUUCGGGGAACGAUAACGGCGUCGAGCGGCGGACGGGUGAGUAAUGCCUAGGAAAUUGCCCUGAUGUGGGGGAUAACCAAUGGAAACGAUGGCUAAUACCGCAUAAUGCCUACGGGCCAAAGAGGGGGACCUUCGGGCCUCUCGCGUCAGGAUAUGCCUAGGUGGGAUUGGCUAGUUGGUGAGGUAAUGGCUCACCAAGGCGACGAUCCCUAGCUGGUCUGAGAGGAUGAUCAGCCACACUGGAACUGAGACACGGUCCAGACUCCUACGGGAGGCAGCAGUGGGGAAUAUUGCACAAUGGGCGCAAGCCUGAUGCAGCCAUGCCGCGUGUGUGAAGAAGGCCUUCGGGUUGUAAAGCACUUUCAGUCGUGAGGAAGGUAGUGUAGUUAAUAGCUGCAUUAUUUGACGUUAGCGACAGAAGAAGCACCGGCUAACUCCGUGCCAGCAGCCGCGGUAAUACGGAGGGUGCGAGCGUUAAUCGGAAUUACUGGGCGUAAAGCGCAUGCAGGUGGUUUGUUAAGUCAGAUGUGAAAGCCCGGGGCUCAGCCUCGGAAUUGCAUCUGAAACUGGCAGAUUAGAGUACUGUAGAGGGGGGUAGAAUUUCAGGUGUAGCGGUGAAAUGCGUAGAGAUCUGAAGGAAUACCGGUGGCGAAGGUGGCCCCCUGGACAGAUACUGACACUCAGAUGCGAAAGC